GUUUUAUAUUAAUGUAUAAGUAAAAUUGUCGGGCAAUCUAUGACAGAUUUGUUAGUCUUUCUUUGUCAGCUGUUCAUAUUAAAUUGUUCGUAUUGCCUCAAAUCUGUGUGUCUUCUAUGCCACGUACAACUGUGACGAUAUUGACUUUAGCAAACAAUUCUGCUCAAACCGGUGCUAGGGCUGUCUUGCAACUUUUAUUGAGACGAGAAUGAUUUCUCUGUGUUGAAGAUCUCACUGUAUUUUGUCAAGAUGAAGAACAGCAAUAAAGUCUUAGACGCUGUUUCUUUGCUGCAAAUUUAUUUUGUAUAUGUCUUGAUUUUGGUGUCGGGCAAACUUAGGUAAGAAAACGGAAACGAAAAAUUCAGUAUUUUUUUUUUAUUUGUUAAGGCGCAUAACCCUAGAAUGGUAUAAAUGACGCCAUCAAAAUCAAAUGUGAUAUGUAUUUUGUUGUAAUACGGAUUGUGUAUAAGUUUCAUAACAUUUUGUUGAGGCAAACUCGAGAUAAAAGAACGAAAACUAAUUUCUUGACGUACGGACAUACACACGGACAAGGCUAGCAAAACUUAAUGCCCCCUCCACUAUAAGUCAUAUUUCAUUGAGUAACCCGAUGUUUUCAUCACUUAAUAACGAUAAUUGCUAUAUCCUAUUCUCUUUUUAUUUAUAUAAAGUUCCGGAAAAAAUGUCCCUAACCAUAUUAAUCAGAGUCUUAAUAUCUAGAAGGAAUUCCGAUCUAUAUAUAGGAAAUUAUUGACCUGGCUACUGAGGUUGUUAUUUGUCGCUUCUGUAAAAGAAGUAAAAAAACGGGGCAUGUAUUAAUACCGAAAUCGGGAAUACCGGCUGGUAUUUCAUAAUCUACCAUGUAUUGUUUCGUAGGGGACAUUUGUUCUUACGAAACAGCUUCUAAAUGCACAUCUUAUAUCAUUUUAAUGUCUCAUAUAGACUUUCCAGGUCGUUUUUCAUUGUAUACUAGAAAGAUCUCAUUUUUUUCUGAAUUGGAGAACCAUUUUUAAACGAUAAAGAUUAAGCCCCAGUCCCACUAGACCACGAUCCCACCACGCUCACCGCGAUCUAAAAUAAAUUCAGAUCGUGGUGAGGUCGCGGUAUGAGCGGCAUGAAAAUGUAAAUUUCCGUUGCUUUCACGAUGCUACUACGUCCUCAUUACACUUCUACAACGAUCCCGCUACGAUUAUACUACGUUCUCACCGCGCUUAUUCUGCGACCUCACUACGCUUAUCAAGAUCUUUCUACGCUCAUCGCGUUCUCACUACGACCAUACCACGAGUUAUCCGAUUGCAACACGAUCUUACCACGCUUCUACUGCGAUUAUAGCACGUUCUUACCACGAUUAUACUACGCUCAUACCGCGAUCUUACUACGUUCUCAGCAAUAACGUCAACAUCGUGUUCCAUAUCAAUACAGUUCCAUUCCUUCUAUUUCUGAUUAAUACGUAGAUUUCGCGGAAACAAUACAGUCAUGCCGCCA
rnacentral:lncRNA from 1 species